GAUGAACGCUAGCGGCAGGCUUAACACAUGCAAGUCGAGGGGCAGCGUGAGGGUUAGCAAUAACCCUUGACGGCGACCGGCGCAAGGGUGCGUAACGCGUGAGCAACUUGCCCUUAUCAGGGGGAUAACCGGUGGAAACGCCGACUAAUACCCCAUGGCAUUGAGUUGAGGCAUCUCUACUCAAUUAAAGAAUUCGGAUAAGGAUAGGCUCGCGUGACAUUAGCUAGACGGCGGGGUAACGGCCCACCGUGGCUACGAUGUCUAGGGGUUCUGAGAGGAAGGUCCCCCACACUGGAACUGAGACACGGUCCAGACUCCUACGGGAGGCAGCAGUGAGGAAUAUUGGGUCAAUGGUCGGAAGACUGAACCAGCCAAGUAGCGUGAAGGAUGAAGGUUCUAUGGAUUGUAAACUUCUUUAUACGGGAUAAACCGCCUACGUGUAGGUGCUUGUAUGUACCGUAUGAAUAAGCAUCGGCUAACUCCGUG
rnacentral:rRNA from 1 species